UACGAAGGGGGCUAGCGUUGCUCGGAAUCACUGGGCGUAAAGCGCUCGUAGGCGGCUUGUUAAGUCGGGGGUGAAAUCCUGGAGCUCAACUCCAGAACUGCCUUCGAUACUGGCAAUCUUGAGUCCGGGAGAGGUGAGUGGAACUCCGAGUGUAGAGGUGAAAUUCGUAGAUAUUCGGAAGAACACCAGUGGCGAAGGCGGCUCACUGGCCCGGUACUGACGCUGAGGUGCGAAAGCGUGGGGAGCAAACAGG
rnacentral:rRNA from 1 species